UACGUAGGGUGCAAGCGUUAAUCGGAAUUACUGGGCGUAAAGCGUGCGCAGGCGGUUUGCUAAGACCGAUGUGAAAUCCCCGGGCUUAACCUGGGAACUGCAUUGGUGACUGGCAAGCUAGAGUGUGGCAGAGGGGGGUAGAAUUCCACGUGUAGCAGUGAAAUGCGUAGAGAUGUGGAGGAAUACCGAUGGCGAAGGCAGCCCCCUGGGCCAACACUGACGCUCAUGCACGAAAGCGCGGGGAGCAAACAGG
rnacentral:rRNA from 1 species